rnacentral:rRNA from 1 species
AGAGGAAGUAAAAGUCGUAACAAGGUCUCCGUAGGUGAACCUGCGGAGGGAUCAUUACAUCGUGACCCCGAGUCUAACCACCGGGAUGUUCAUAACCCUUUGUUGUCCGACUCUGUUGCCUCCGGGGCGACCCUGCCUUCGGGCGGGGGCUCCGGGUGGACACUUCAAACUCUUGCGUAACUUUGCAGUCUGAGUAAAUUUAAUUAAUAAAUUAAAACUUUUAACAACGGAUCUCUUGGUUCUGGCAUCGAUGAAGAACGCAGCGAAAUGAGGAUAAGUAAUGUGAAUUGCAGAAUUCAGUGAAUCAUCGAAUCUUUGAACGCACAUUGCGCCCCCUGGUAUUCCGGGGGGCAUGCCUGUUCGAGCGUCAUUUCACCACUCAAGCCUCGCUUGGUAUUGGGCAACGCGGUCAGCCGCGUGCCUCAAUCGACCGGCUGGGUCUUCUGUCCCCUAAGCGUUGUGGAAACUAUUCGCUAAAGGGUGAUCGGGAGGCUACGCCGUAAACAAAGCCAUUUCUAAGGUUGACCUCGGAUCAGGUAGGGAUACCCGCUGAACUUAAGCAUAUCAAUAAGCGGAGGAAAAGAAACCAACAGGGAUUGCUCUAGUAACGGCGAGUGAAGCAGCAAUAGCUCAAAUUUGAAAUCUGGCGUCUUCGACGUCCGAGUUGUAAUUUGUAGAGGAUGCUUCUGAGUAACCACCGACCUAAGUUCCUUGGAACAGGACGUCAUAGAGGGUGAGAAUCCCGUAUGCGGUCGGAAAGGUGCUCUAUACGUAGCUCCUUCGACGAGUCGAGUUGUUUGGGAAUGCAGCUCUAAAUGGGAGGUAAAUUUCUUCUAAAGCUAAAUAUUGGCCAGAGACCGAUAGCGCACAAGUAGAGUGAUCGAAAGAUGAAAAGCACUUUGGAAAGAGAGUUAAAAAGCACGUGAAAUUGUUAAAAGGGAAGGGAUUGCAACCAGACUUGCUCGCGGUGUUCCGCCGGUCUUCUGACCGGUCUACUCGCCGCGUUGCAGGCCAGCAUCGUCUGGUGCCGCUGGAUAAGACUUGAGGAAUGUAGCUCCCUCGGGAGUGUUAUAGCCUCUUGUGAUGCAGCGAGCGCCGGGCGAGGUCCGCGCUUCGGCUAGGAUGCUGGCGUAAUGGUCGUAAUCCGCCCGUCUUGAAACACGGACCAAGGAGUCUAACAUCUAUGC